rnacentral:rRNA from 1 species
GGCGCAGCUUACCAUGCAAGUCGAGCGGUAACAGGGGGUGCUUGCACCCCGCUGACGAGCGGCGGACGGGUGAGUAAUGCAUAGGAAUCUGCCCAGUAGUGGGGGAUAGCCCGGGGAAACCCGGAUUAAUACCGCAUACGCCCUUUGGGGGAAAGCAGGGGAUCUUCGGACCUUGCGCUAUUGGAUGAGCCUAUGUCGGAUUAGCUAGUUGGUGGGGUAAAGGCCUACCAAGGCGACGAUCCGUAGCUGGUCUGAGAGGAUGAUCAGCCACAUCGGGACUGAGACACGGCCCGAACUCCUACGGGAGGCAGCAGUGGGGAAUAUUGGACAAUGGGGGCAACCCUGAUCCAGCCAUGCCGCGUGUGUGAAGAAGGCUUUCGGGUUGUAAAGCACUUUCAGUGAGGAGGAAAACCUUCUGGUUAAUACCCAUGAGGCUUGACGUUACUCACAGAAGAAGCACCGGCUAACUCCGUGCCAGCAGCCGCGGUAAUACGGAGGGUGCAAGCGUUAAUCGGAAUUACUGGGCGUAAAGCGCGCGUAGGUGGUUUGAUAAGCGAGAUGUGAAAGCCCCGGGCUUAACCUGGGAACGGCAUUUC